rnacentral:tRNA from 1 species
AAUAAAAUGGCUGAGAUUGUAAGCGAUAAAUUGUAAAUUUAUUAACGAAAUUAAAUAUUUCUUUUAUUA